CCCCAAGAGGGAAGGAGGGAGAUGGAGGGGGUAGCACAAUACUGGAUCACUAGGGGAGGGGGAGCGGUGAUUUCCAAAGACGAGCAGCACCCACAAGCACUAGAGGUGUGGAACAUGCGAUUUUUGCCGCAGGACAUGUGACUUCUGACACCCAGCGCUGGAAAAGACAAAUCGAGGUGCCCCCAAUCCCCCAGUGCUCCAUGUGGUUCUACAUCCCCUGUGCUUCCUGUUCGAUGGGAUUGAAUGCCAUGCAUGUCAUUGUAGCUAGCGUUAGGCUUAGGAGGAUGGGAUUAAUAGGAAUUAAUUUGGGGGAAAUUGCUUUUGCAUGGGGCUAGAUAAACUCUGUAACUGUAAAUGCAAAAAUUAUAUCAUAUCUUAUUGACACUACAGAAGUUGGAGUGAAUUAUAUCAAAAGGCUAGCCAGAAACAACUCUUUAGAGAUAUAUAUUGCUAUGAUUUUUUUUUGAAGGAAAUACUGCUACGAUUUGUGCACCUAGUUUUUUUCAUAUCAAUACUAUUAGUAAUAAGGCUAGGGAUAUACUAUUAUUAGAGAUAUUUUGCAGCACUUAGAGAUACAUGUGCCUAGUAUUUAUUUAUAACUACCAAAAUACAUUUGAUACUUUGUAUAACUACCAAAAUACACUUCAUACUUUGGCUAACAAGUAACAUGGUAAAAGGUUCAUGAAUUUCUUUUAUUUGGUUGCUGAGAUGUAGCAUAAAUGGCAAUAUAUAGCUUACAUUCAGGUUACUGUUUUUGAAGGAACUCCAUGGCUUGGCACCUAACUUGCAAGGACAUUUGAAUGAUGACAAAAAAAAUCUCAACUUUUGCUCAAGAUGCUGUCUGAAGAGGGGUUUGACUUGAAUACAGAAUCAACAGAUGUGGAUGAUAAUUUUCAACAACUUGGUGAACCGCUUCCUCCCCCAGUAGAAGAACAACAACUUGUGUAAAGUAUCUUCAGUUUUUGUAAAAGUCACUCGAACUUAUCCACCCCAAGUAGAAGUACUAGUGCAUAUUUUAGAAUUCAAAGGCUGGAGAAGGAGCUCCUGAAGUUGUACAUGAGAAUUAACGGAAAGACCAAGUAGACAGAGCUGAAACAAGGAUGAAAUUGUAAUAAACAUAACAUGUUACUCUAGAUAACUUGCUAAUAUUUACUUCAUAAGUUGAUACACUGUCUUUACAUAAGUUGGUACAUUAUAUUUCAUAAGUGGUAACAAAUAGAUCAGGUUGUAACACUUUAUCUACAUUAAUCACUUGUGCAA